rnacentral:tRNA from 1 species
UCGAAAUCGGUAGACGCUACGGAUUUAAAAUCCGUUGGCUUUUUAGACCGUGAGGGUUCAAGUCCCUCUACCCCCA